CGAGUGGUACAUAAUAUAUUAGAUUUAAUAAUAACAAGACAAGUACAAACCAGCCGAGGCUCUACAACAGUUUUAAAACAUUGAAGUGGUCCCCGUUAGUCCCUCAGUCACUUUGACACUUCAGUGAUGUGCCCAAAAUAACACAUUUAAAUGUAAAUAUAGUUACAGCAGUUAAUAAUUAAAGAGGGAACUAUGAUCAAAUAAAAAUAUUUAAAAAAUAAAUAAAUUGUACAAUUUGUAAGUUUUUGUUUCUUUUAGUUAUUUUCAGUAUAAAAAUUUGACGGAUAAACUGUGUGCAAGUCAUCAUGAAUUGAUGUAUGUGAGAGGUUAAAUUUUAAAUAAUAGUAACGUGAAAGAUAAGGGCCUAGCUUCCAUCAAAUCAGCUGUUUACCAGUGACUGACGACAGCUAUUGUUUGGCAACUUGUUCUCAACUAGCCUGGUUAAAUAAAUAACGUGUUGGAGGUGUAACUGAUCUUAAAACCUCUUAAAGCUAGGGGGCAGAAUUUUCACUUUUGGAUAAAUAGUGUGCCCAAUUUCAACUUCCCGCUACUCAUGCCAAGAAUAUAAGAUAUGCAUAUUAUUCAUAGAUUUGGAUAGAGAACACUCUGAAGUUUCUAAAACUGUUUGAAUCAUGUCUGUGAGUAUAACAGAACUUAUGUAGCAGGCAAAACCCAGAGGACUAACUGUUCAGAAUUCCCCCCCCCCUCUGUUCCCUAUAUUGUCUCUGCCAUGGGAUAUUUCAUAGGAACCUAUUUACAGUUCCUACCGACUGUUGCCAGUCUUUGGAAUUUGUUUGAGGUUAUUCCUUUGUGCAAUGAAGAAGUAGGCCAACUCGGAACUGGGGACACUUUUGUGUUGUAAUAUGCUAGCUCCUUUGUUCACUGCUGGUGUAGACGGUGAAGGCUAUCAGAUAAUAGCUUCUUAUGCUUUCGCCGAAAAGCAUUUUUUAAAAAUCUGACAUGUUGGCUGGAUUCAUAACGAGUGUAGCUUUAAUUGAGUAUCUUACAUGUGUGAUUUAACGAAAGUUUGAAUUCUAUAGCAUUUUAUUUGAAUCUGGCGCUCUGCAUUUCCCCUGGCAAUUGACCAGUUGAGACAUUUGCAUCCCGCCUAUCCUUAAGAGGUUUUAAUCAGCUGUCAAAUCGGUAAACAGCAGCUCUUUUCAGGAAAAGUACACCGGCCUACUCGCGUUACAAGUUCAGAAUGAGGAAGUGUGUAGGUUAUUUUGAAAAUAUUGACGCUCAAUUUGGAAAAAUCAUUAUAACCUAAUCGAGGUGUAGAUUACAUCUCACAUUCCAGUGUUCGAACAAUGCUACAUGGGAUUUCUGUAUCUUUGACAGCUCUUUAUUUAAGAACAAAAUAUUUUUUUCCAAUGACAGCAGGUUAACUGCCUUGGUUCAGGGGAAGAAUGACAGAUGUUUAUCUUGUCAGCUCAGAAGAUUUGAUCUAGCAACCUAUCGGUUAUACCUCCUCUACACUCUAACCACUAGGCUACCUGCCACCUCUACACUCUAACCACUAGGCUACCUGCCACCUCUACACUCUAACCACUAGGCUACCUGCCACCUCUACACUCUAACCACUAGGCUACCUGCCUCCUCUACACUCUAACCACUAGGCUACCUGCCACCUCUACACUCUAACCACUAGGCUACCUGCCACCUCUACACUCUAACCACUAGGCUGCCGCCUCAUGCAAAAUUGACAGCUCUAAUGAGUCUUGGACUAGUAACCGAAAAGGCAAGAUCGAAUCCCCGAGCAAAAAUCUGCCAUUCUGCCCCGCUACAAGGCAGUUAACCCACUGUUCCUAGGCCGUCAUUUUAAAUAAGAAUUUGUUCUUAACUGACUUGACACGUAAAAUAAAAUAGACAGAGCUAUGGAUGCCAGGACUGACCAUCCAUGAUAUCAGAAUUAUAGUUUUAAUCAUGUUUUAAAGCUGUACAGUGUUUGUUUGCAUUGUUUAGAAACAUCGGGGUAAAACAAGCUCAUAUUGUGGGUUCUGAUGGGGUACGACAGUUGAUCUAAACUCAUGAGGUAUUCAUAUGUUAUAUUCUUCUAGAAUCAAUGGGUAGAUAUAAUGAAUUUAUAAGUAAAAAAAUGGGUGUAGCAACUAAGGAUUCUAGCUUUAAGGCUGUAUCUAUGAGAGCUGGGAAACUGUUGAUUGGUUAAACCAAUGCCACAGCAGCUAUGCCCCAGGCUAUUAGCUAGCCUAGUAGCUAGCAGAGCCACAGCAGCUAUGUCCCAGGCUAUUAGCUAGCCAGCAGCUGUACCAUUAACAGAGCCAAACUGAGAGGCAAGGCAGCCAGAGAGAAAGAAGUGGGUCGGGGAGCACUUCCUGAGCUGGUUGAUGACCCUGAAAAAGUAGGAAAAACAGAGAUAUUGUUCAGUAAAUUACAGAAGUGGAUUGUCUUUUCAUGUUUCUGUUCAAAUGUUGACUUCGCUCUUAUAGAUGUGUACGGUGACAGUGAAACAGGGGCGGACUGGGACCAGAAAUUGGCCUUGGCAUUUUAUAUAUUUAUAUAUAUAUUUUUUUUUGUACCCCGUUUUCGUGGUAUCAAUUGUUAGUAGCUGCUAUCUUGUCUCAUUGCUAAAACUCCCGUACGGGCUCAGGAGAGACGAAGGUUGAAAGUCAUGCGUCCUCCGAUACACAAGCCAACCAAGCCGCACUGCUUCUUAACACAGCGUGCAUCCAACCCGGAAGCCAGCCGCACCAAUGUGUCGGAGGAAACACCGUGCAACCUUGGUUAGCACGCAC
ensembl:lncRNA